CAGUAGAGAAUAGUUUUAAAGGAGGUUGGUCGGGGUGGAAGAUGGCUCAAACAACACCGGACUUUCACCCCGGAGACCUGGGAUUGUGUCCCG